AGGGAAGAUCUUUGAUGCAUUCUUCUUCCUUGUUGUGCCUUCUCUUCAUUACCCGUUGCCUUUCAUGAAGCUUACAAGAAGGGACAUGAGCGCAGGCACCCAGUUUCCAACAACCUGGGGAUGGAGUGAUGUCUACUCCAACAGAGAAUUGUACUUUCAGCGUUUCUGUGCUGGAAGAGGAGAUUAUUUGCCUCAAGCAUCAAAGAGACAGCCAUGUCAAUAGGACCUUGAAAGACUAAGAUCAAAAGCCUAAUUCGUGGGCCUGCAGCGUCAUGCUCUCCACACUGCAGGCUGAGCACAGCUUGUUUCCGAAGGCCUCCUGGAUCCGGAGAACCAGGCAUUUGUGGUGGGCCUCAUCCAUGGCGUAGAAGUGGUUGAAAUCCAGGAAGACAAUCUCCUGGGGGUGCUGUGUAAGAAAUGAGUCAAUCUCCAUCAGCCCAUCCCAGACCUUGAUGCCAAAAAGUCCGUGAAUGAAGUAGAUCUCCUGGUCAGCAUCCCCGGGUUUGGAAGACACGCGCAGGUCGAAGUAUCGAAUCCCAGCUUCCAGCUGUUCUCGGAACGUUAGGUUCUGCGUCACGGACCAUUUCUUCAUUAGCUUCUUCACCAAGGAGAUCCUGGCGAGGCGUUUGAUGGCUGGGGUUUGGUCCGGCCCCACUGGGGACUUUUCAUCUACCCAGUAGCUGAAUGAAUCAUGGGAGCCUGAGCAAGGCAACAGAGGGGAAAAAAGCAGUUGAGACUGGAGGUGGGAAAAAGAAGCCCGCUAAGGAAACCGCACAAGAUUAGCAAAAACACACAAACAAUGUAAAUGAAUACUUGCAAAACUUUCCAAGCUUGCUAAGACAGAAAUAAGUACAAAUAAAAGUAAUGUAGUCUUGGGGCA